AUUAUACCCCCACAAACGAAGUUUAGGGGGUAUAUAGGAGUGAACUUGUUGGUCGGUCGGUCUGUCGAUCCGUAUUAAGUGUCCGCUCUCUAAUUCAAGUAGUUUUCAUCCGAUCUUCACCAAACUAAGUCAGAAGUUGAAUCUACAUGAUGUCUAGGCCAAGUUUGAAUAUGGGCCUUGCCGGGUCAAAAACUAGGUCACGGGGUCACUUAGUGCGUUUUAAACAUUCAGCAUGUUGUCCGCUCCCUUAUUCAAGAAGUUUUCAUCCGAUCUUCACCAAACUUGGUCAGAAGUUGUAUCUACAUGAUGUCUAGGCCAAGUUCGAACAUGGGCCGUGCCGGGUCAAAAACUAGGUCACAGGGCCACUUCGUGUGUUUUAAACAUUCAGCAUAUUGUCCGCUCUCUAAUUCAAGUAGUUUUCAUCCGAUCUUCACCAAACAUAGUCAGAAGUUGUAUCUACAUGAUGUCUAGGCCAAGUUCGAACAUGGGCCUUGCCAGGUCAAAAACUAGGUCACAGAGUCACUUAGUGCGUUUUAAACAUUCAGCAUGUUGUCCGCUCUCUAAUUCAAGUAGUUUUCAUCCAAUCUUCACCAAGCUUGGUCAGAAGUUGUAUCUAGAUGAUCUUAAGGCCAAGUUCGAACAUGGGCCUUGCCGGGUCAAAAACUAGGUCACAGGUCACUUAGUGCGUUUUUUAACAUUCAGCAUGGUGUCCUGUCUCUUAUUCAAGUAGUUUUCAUCCGAUCUUCACCAAACUUGGUCAGAAGUUUUAUCUAGAUGAUCUGAAGGCCAAGUUUCAACAUGGGCCAUGCCAGAUCAAAGACUAGGUCACAGGGUCACUUAGUACGUUUUACACAUUGAGCAUGGUGUCCGCUCUCUAUUUCAAGUAGUUUAAAUCUGAUCUUCACUACACUUGGUCAGAAGUUGUAACUAGAUGAUGUGUAGGUCAGGGGGUCACUAAGUGCGUUUUAAACAUCACAAUGUUGUCCGCUCUCUAAUUCAAGUAGUUUUCAUCCAAUCUUCACCAAACUUGGUCAGAAGUUGUAUCUAGAUGAUGUCUUGGUCAAGUUUGAAUAUGGGUCAUGCCGGGUCAAAAACUAGGUCACGGGGUAUCUUAGUGUGUUUUAAACCUCACCAUGUUGUCCGCUCUCUAAUUCAAGUAGUUUUCAUUCAAUCCUCACCCAACUUGGUCACCAGUUUUAUCUAAAUGAUCUCUAGGACAAGUUUGAACAUGGGCCAUCAGGGUCAAAAACUAUGUCAUGGGGUCACUAAGUGCGUUUUUUAACAUUCAUCAUGGUGUCCGCUCUCUAAUUUAAGUAGUUUACACCCAAUCUUCACCAAACUUGGUCAGAAGUUUUAUGGAGAGGAUCUUAAGGCCAAGUUAGAACAUGGGCCGUUCUGGGUCAAAAACUAGGUCAAGGGGUCAAUUAGUGCAUUUUAAAAAUUGAGCAUGAUGUCCGCUGUUUUUUGUGAAGACGUCAUGCAAAAUAUUAUGUGUCAAUGCGGCAUGAGGGGGUAUUCGUCACGUCUGUGACAAAGCUCUAGUUGUAAUUAGCAUCUUCUGGUCUCAAUCAUUAUUUUGAAAGAUUCUUUCAUAGUUUUUAGGAACGUCUUUUAAUGAUAAAUUGAUACUGGAUAUCAUUAUACCCCCACAAACGAAGUUUAGGGGUAUAUAUAGGAGUGAGCUUGUCUGUCGGUCCGUAUUAAGUGUCCGCUCUCAAAUUCAAGUUGUUUUCAUACAAUCUUCACCAUACUUUGUCAGAUGUUGUAUCUAGAUGAUAUCUAGGUCAAGUUCAAAUAUGGGUAAUGCCAGGUCAAAAACUAGGUCACUGGGUCACUUAGUGUGUUUUAAACAUUUAGCAUGGUGUCUGCUUUCUAAUUCAAGUUGUUUUCAUUCGAUCUUCACCACACUUGGUCAAAAGUUGUUUUGGAAUUAUCUUAAGACCAUGUUCGAACAUGGUCCAUGCUGGGUCAAAAACUAGGUCACGGGGUCACUUAGUACGUUUUACACAUUCAGCAUGGUGUCCGCUCUCUAAUUCAAGUAGUUUUCAUUCGAUCUUCACCAAACUUGGUCAGAAGUUGUAUCUAGAUGAUGUGUAGGUCAAGUUUGAACAUGGUCCAUGCUGGGUCAAAAUCUAGCUCACAGGGUCACUUAGUGCAUUUUAAUCAUUGAGCAUGGUGUCCACUUUUUAUGCCCCCGGUAGGGUGGCAUAUAGCAGUUGAACUGUCCGUCAGUCCGUCUGUAAGUUUGUGCGUCCGUUCAAAAACUUAAACAUUGGCCGUAACAUUUGCAAUAUUGAAGAUAGCAACUUGAUACUUGGCAUGCAUGUGUAUCUCAUGAAGCUGCAUAUUUUGAGUUGUGAAAGGUCAAAGUCAAGGUCAUCCUAAUAAGCUUAAAAAGGGAGAUAAUUUCUAAACCUUCCAUAUGAUAUAUUGAAAUUUUAUUUUAAAGCGGCGCAAUAGGGAGCAUUGUAAUUCUGACAAACACAUCUCUUGUUUUUGUUAAGAUAACAUGUAAAAUAUUCUGUGUCAAUGCAGCAUGUGGGGGUAUUCGUCACGUCUGUGACAAAGCUCUAGUUAGUGAAAACAUUAUUAACCAGGUUUUCCGAAGGAAAAAACUGGUUAUUAGAUUGGCGAAUGCGGGCGGGCUGGCUGGCGGGCGGGCGAAACAAGCUUGUCCGGGCCAUAACUAUGUCGUUCAUUGUCAGAUUUUAAAAUCAUUUGGCACAUUUGUUCACCAUCAUUGGACGGUGUGUCGCGCGAAAUAAUUACGUCGAUAUCUCCAAUGUCAAGGUCGCCACGACUAAAAAUAGAUUU